CUGGUAUCGAACUCCUGGCCUCAAGUGAUCCAACCCCCUCAGCCUCUCAAAGUGCUAGGACUACAGGCAUGAGCCACCCUGCCCAGCCACUUUGCUAUUUUUUUUUUUUUUAAUACACAGCUUCGAGGUCCAGUAUGAUUUCACAGAUUAGGAAACAUCACAGGCAAAGAAGAACACUUUGCAUUCAAAUAGCAGAAUGUUUUCAUUUUCAAAGAGCUCUCACCUGCCAUCUAAUCUUGUCUUCCUAGAAGUCCUGGGAGAGAAGCAGAUGUGGUUUCCAAUCCCACUUUCCAGAAGAGGAGACUGAGGCAGAGGCUUUGCAGAUACACAGAGGACAUGUGAGGACAGGUGAAGGUCAUGAUCAUUGUCAGCCCCCUCCCCCAACUGGACAUUCCCAGAUCUGGUGGACUUCCAGCCAGAGGAGAGAGAAAGACUGGAUCACUCAACUCUGCCAUGGGUGCCAGGACCCAAUUUUUCCCUGGCUAACUCUGUCACCUCCUGUCUGGGAUCUCCAACUACUAAGUCUCAGCUAAAACAGCAAUUCAAAGGCGAACUUUUUUCUGAGGCUCCAGGAUUGGGCCAGGCCCUCUCCAUGGCUUUCUGCCCUUCCCCUACUGCAGAACUUAGCACCUGUAUGUCACUAUUGGUUAAAACAUGUGCCUUUCAUAUGCUCUCCACGUUAUCUGCAGCAUCUGCAAAGAAUAAUAAUGAAUGGUAAAACCUAAUCUCUAUUGAGUGUCGAUGAUGCACUUUUAACGUGACAUCUUAUUUAAUCCUCACUAUAUCUGCAAGAGUAGAAGCUAUUAAUAGCCAAUUUUCAGAUAAGAAAAUCAAAGCACAGUUUCUAUAACUUACCCAAGCAGCUAGCUAGGAG
rnacentral:lncRNA from 10 species